AGCGAACGCUGGCGGCAGGCCUAACACAUGCAAGUCGAACGAACUCUUCGGAGUUAGUGGCGGACGGGUGAGUAACACGUGGGAACGUGCCUUUAGGUUCGGAAUAACUCAGGGAAACUUGUGCUAAUACCGAAUGUGCCCUUCGGGGGAAAGAUUUAUCGCCUUUAGAGCGGCCCGCGUCUGAUUAGCUAGUUGGUUGGGGUAAUGGCCCACCAAGGCGACGAUCAGUAGCUGGUCUGAGAGGAUGACCAGCCACAUUGGGACUGAGACACGGCCCAAACUCCUACGGGAGGCAGCAGUGGGGAAUCUUGCGCAAUGGGCGAAAGCCUGACGCAGCCAUGCCGCGUGUAUGAUGAAGGUCUUAGGAUUGUAAAAUACUUUCACCGGUGAAGAUAAUGACUGUAGCCGGAGAAGAAGCCCCGGCUAACUUCGUGCCAGCAGCCGCCGUAACAC
rnacentral:rRNA from 1 species